rnacentral:rRNA from 1 species
AAAACGACUCUCGGCAACGGAUAUCUCGGCUCUCGCAUCGAUGAAGAACGUAGCGAAAUGCGAUACYUGGUGUGAAUUGCAGAAUCCCGUGAACCAUCGAGUCUUUGAACGCAAGUUGCGCCCGAAGCCGUCAGGCCGAGGGCACGUCUGCCUGGGCGUCACGC